rnacentral:rRNA from 1 species
UACGUAGGCAGCGAGCGUUGUUCGGAAUUAUUGGGCGUAAAGGGUGCGUAGGCGGUUUGGUAAGUCUUAUGUGAAAUCUACAGGCUCAACUUGUAGUCUGCAUGAGAAACUGCCGGGCUUGAGUAUGGGAGAGGUGAGUGGAAUUCCUGGUGUAGCGGUGAAAUGCGUAGAUAUCAGGAGGAACACCUGUGGCGAAAGCGGCUCACUGGACCAUAACUGACGCUGAUGCACGAAAGCUAGGGGAGCAAACAGG